CAGCCCCGCGGGAAUACGUAGGUGGCAAGCGUUGUCCGGAAUUAUUGGGCGUAAAGGGCUCGCAGGCGGUUUCUUAAGUCUGAUGUGAAAGCCCCCGGCUCAACCGGGGAGGGUCAUUGGAAACUGGGAAACUUGAGUGCAGAAGAGGAGAGUGGAAUUCCACGUGUAGCGGUGAAAUGCGUAGAGAUGUGGAGGAACACCAGUGGCGAAGGCGACUCUCUGGUCUGUAACUGACGCUGAGGAGCGAAAGCGUGGGGAGCGAACAGGAUUAGAUACCCGCGUAGUCCCUGUCUCUUAUACA
rnacentral:rRNA from 1 species